GGGUGAGUAACGCGUGAGGAACCUGCCCUUCAGUGGGGAACAACAACUAGAAAUGGUUGCUAAUACCGCAUAAUGUCGGAGAGCCGCAUGACUUUCCGACCAAAGGAUUUAUUCGCUGAAGGAUGGCCUCGCGUCCGAUUAGAUAGUUGGUGAGGUAACGGCCCACCAAGUCUGCGAUCGGUAGCCGAACUGAGAGGUUGAUCGGCCACAUUGGGACUGAGACACGGCCCAGACUCCUACGGGAGGCAGCAGUGGGGAAUAUUGGGCAAUGGGCGAAAGCCUGACCCAGCAACGCCGCGUGAAGGAUGACGGUCUUCGGAUUGUAAACUUCUUUAAUUGGGGAAGAACAAAAUGACCUACCCAAAGAAUAAGUCACGGCUAACUACGUGCCAGCAGCCGCGGUAAUACGUAGGUGACAAGCGUUAUCCGGAUUUACUGGGCGUAAAGGGCGUGUAGGCGGUCUUGCAAGUCAGAAGUGAAAUUCCUGAGCUCAACUCGGGCGCUGCUUCUGAAACUGCAGGACUUGAGUGCUGGAGGGGAUAGCGGAAUUCCUAGUGGAGCGGUAAAAUGCGCAGAUAUUAGGAAGAACACCGGUGGCGAAGGCGGCUAUCUGGACAGUA
rnacentral:rRNA from 1 species